AUUGAACGCUGGCGGCAUGCCUUACACAUGCAAGUCGAACGGCAGCACGGGUGCUUGCACCUGGUGGCGAGUGGCGAACGGGUGAGUAAUAUAUCGGAACGUACCUUAUUGUGGGGGAUAACGCAGCGAAAGCUGUGCUAAUACCGCAUAAUCCCUAAGGGGGAAAGCGGGGGACCGUAAGGCCUCGCGCAAUUAGAGCGGCCGAUACCUGAUUAGCUAGUUGGUGAGGGAAAGGCUCACUAAGGCAACGAUCAGUAGCUGGUCUGAGAGGACGAUCAGCCACACUGGGGCUGAGACACGGCCCAGACUCCUGCGGGAGGCAGCAGUGGGGGAUUUUGGACAAUGGGGGCAACCCUGAUCCAGCAAUGCCGCGUGAGUGAAGAAGGCCUUCGGGUUGUAAAGCUCUUUUGUCAGGGAAGAAACAGCAGCUCUAACACAGUUUGCGAAUGACGGUACCUGAAGAAUAAGCACCGGCUAACUACGUGCCAGCCGCCGCCGUAA
rnacentral:rRNA from 1 species